rnacentral:rRNA from 1 species
UACAUAGGGUGCAAGCGUUGUUCGGAAUUACUGGGCGUAAAGGGCGCGUAGGCGGCCUUGUCAGUCAGGCGUGAAAGCCCCGGGCUCAACCUGGGAACGGCGCUUGGGACGGCGAGGCUGGAGUUCGGGAGAGGAGAGUGGAAUUCCCAGUGUAGAGGUGAAAUUCGUAGAUAUUGGGAAGAACACCGGUGGCGAAGGCGGCUCUCUGGACCGACACUGACGCUGAGGCGCGAAAGCGUGGGGAGCAAACAGG